rnacentral:snRNA from 1 species
CUACUUUUCUCGGCCUAUUGGCUAAGAUCAGGUUUAGUAUCUCUUCUUAUUAGUUUAAUUUAUAAAAUCAAGUAUGGUGUUGGUGUUUGCUUCCAUCACCCUGU